AGAACGAACGCUGGCGGCGUGGAUAAGACAUGCAAGUCGAACGCGACUUAUUCGGUUAGCAAUAACUGGUAAGUUGAGUGGCGAAAGGGUGCGUAACACGUGGGAAUUUACCGAGAAGUGGGGAAUAGCUCGACGAAAGUCGAAUUAAUACCGCAUACGAUCGCAAGAUCAAAGCCGGGGACCGCAAGGCCUGGCGCUUUUUGAGAAGCCCGCGGCCCAUCAGCUAGUUGGCGAGGUAAAAGCUCACCAAGGCUAUGACGGGUAGCUGGUCUGAGAGGACGACCAGCCACACUGGAACUGAGACACGGUCCAGACACCUACGGGUGGCAGCAGUCGAGAAUUUUUCACAAUGGACGAAAGUCUGAUGGAGCGACGCUGCGUGGAGGAUGAAGGUUCUUGGAUUGUAAACUCCUGUCACUGCAGAACAAGGCUACACAUGUGAAUAGCGCGUGUAGUUGAUGGUAUGCGGAGAGGAAGGGACGGCU
rnacentral:rRNA from 1 species